rnacentral:tRNA from 1 species
GGGCCGUUAGCUCAACUAGGCAGAGCAACUGACUCUUAAUCAGUAGGUUGAAGGUUCGAUUCCUUCACGGCGCACCA